rnacentral:rRNA from 1 species
AUUGAACGCUGGCGGCAGGCCUAACACAUGCAAGUCGAACGGUAACAGGAAGAAGCUUGCUUCUUUGCUGACGAGUGGCGGACGGGUGAGUAAUGUCUGGGAAACUGCCUGAUGGAGGGGGAUAACUACUGGAAACGGUAGCUAAUACCGCAUAACGUCGCAAGACCAAAGAGGGGGACCUUCGGGCCUCUUGCCUUCGGCUGUGCCCAGAUGGGAUUAGCUAGUAGGUGGGGUAACGGCACACCUAGGCGACGAUCCCUAGCUGGUCUGAGAGGAUGAUCAGUCACACUGGAACUGAGACACGGUCCAGACUCCUACGGGAGGCAGCAGUGGGGAAUAUUGGACAAUGGGCGCAAGCCUGAUGCAGCCAUGCCGCGUGUAUGAAGAAGGCCUUCGGGUUGUAAAGUACUUUAAGCGGGGAGGAAGGGAGUAAAGUUAAUACCUUUGCUCAUUGACGUUACCCGCAGAAGAAGCACCGGCUAACUCCGUG